rnacentral:lncRNA from 1 species
GCCACUAGCUACAGAUGCUGGAGAAUUUGGGCUGGUUUCUUCUGCAUUUUAACAAUCCCUGGGGCUUUCUUUGGUUCUUUCUUUAUUUGAGUGAGGUUGAGAUCAUCUUUCUAUCAUGUCUCUGCAUUCAGUGAUAUCCAUAUUUAUCCAUGUUUGAAAAGACACAGACAUCAAUCUGUCUGGAAAGAACGAUGUGAGGACAGGACCCCUGCUACUGUGUGUGUCUCUCAUCCUGAUGUUGACAUAUGUAAAAGAAAAAAUCUGCUCCGGACACUUGUGAAAACCAGCAAGACAGAUGUUAUUGGAACUCCUGCAUUAGGCUACGACCCUCAGUACAGAGUUGAGCUCAGCUCUGGAGGCAGCAUGGACAGUGAGUGGAGUGUUUAUGGACAAUGAGCAGAGGGUCAGCGGAUGGACAGUCACUAAGAGGAACUUGAUGAGGUAUCAAGAGCCCAAGAAGCUGAGCCUCAGAGAUGGCUGACAAAGGUCCCUCAGCUCUCGGAUACCUAGAACUCUGC